AUUAUGAGAGUUUGAUCCUGGCUCAGGACGAACGCUGGCGGCGUGCCUAAUACAUGCAAGUCGAACGCUUCUUUUC
rnacentral:rRNA from 1 species